rnacentral:lncRNA from 1 species
UAUUAAAUUUGUGUUAAUUAUAAUUCUAUAGCCAAAGGGUAUUAUGGACAAAAAUGAAUCUUGAUAUCUUUAAAAAAAAACUUGAGGAUAUUUGUGAUUAUUUUCCCAAACUUUGAGGUGCAAAUAUCCUUCUACCUUCAUAUAAUUCAUUUUUGUAGGGUUAGGGACCUAUUCAAUACAUAUGUGAAAACUAUUAUGUUACUUGAGAGAUAGUAAAAGUUGGGAGCCCAAGUUAUUGUUACCCAAUCGGGAUUGGUAAGCUUGUUGGGUAAUGUGAGGUCAAUGUAUUGCAACACAACUCACCUCAACAAUUUUUUUUUAAUAAUACAAUUUCACUAGCAGCCUAUAUAAUGCAAUGUAUCAGCUCCAUUACCAAAUCUUCUCUGUAUUUAAAUCACCUUCCUUUUAUGGUUCACAAGGUCAUAAAUCAUUGUAAUCCAAAUAAUAGAAGAGAAACAAGCGUUUGUAGAUUUAAAUACACUUAGAUAAUCAUUUAUUAUUUGUAAGUUAAUAUUAUACUUAUAAAUUUAAGUUCA